GAAAUCUAACUAAGGCUUUUUAUUUCUCUCGGUUUUCAGUUCUAUCAAUUUUUGGUUUGAAUAGUCAACGUCCUAAAGGCACAUGCAUAUGAAGAAUUCUCAUGUCUUUCUGUGAACUGACCUCACUGUAAUCAGUACUGCUGUUGCAAGUAUAUGUGUGUGUGUGGUAUGUGCAUGCAUGAAUAUGAAUGCUCUCGUGUGUGUGUGUGUGUGUGUGUGUGUGUGUGUGUGUGUGUGUAGAGACUAAAAGCAAAACUGAUCAGGAGGGAGUAAACGGGAGAGGAUGAGGGAGGACAGAGGAAAGGGGCUAUGGAGGGAGUGGGCUCUAUGUAUAGUGUACACCUGUGUGAAAGUGUCCUUGUAUAACACCAAAGCGUAUACAGUGAAGAAUUUUUAAGAAGUUGAGGGAAAGAGAACUCUCCCUCUUUAUCCAUGAGAGAUGGGCUUGUGGAAGGAAGACCACCAAGUGUGUUCUCAUGACAUCACACGAAGGGAACAUUCCAUAAAGAUGACGUACCACUGCCUGUGUCUGGCUGAGAGAGGUGAGGAACAGAAAAGAAUCUACAGCUAGUGAUGAGCGUUGUUAUGGGAACCAAGAGCAUCCUUAACUGUGAAACUGUUGCCUCCAUCAUCACCCACUCUUUUCUCAGUAAUUUUUGAGAACUUACUAGGUGACAGUUUAUUGGUCUGGGCACUGGAGCUCUAGAAGCCAAGAUGAAAUCCCUGCCCUAGUGGGGCUUAUAUUAGCAGACAUACGGUAAUGAUGUUACAUUAACAUGAAAACAGGUAUCUCCGUCUAAAGUCACCUCGUCCAUCUAAGACCACAUAAGAGAUUUUCCCUGUUAUCUAGAAGCAGCCAAGAAGUAGACAUCAUUUCACUAUCCCAGAAGUCAGACAAAAUGAUGAAGAGGGGUAUGUUCCUUGAAACCAGGGAAAAUAGAGCACACUCCUUUCUUGCCCCCAACCCCAUGGUCUUUCCAAUCACAACUGUCCUGCCUUGCAAUGAUUUCAGCCAUUCUGGGAGCCUUCCCUCUGAGAAGACUUGGCUCUUUCAUGGAUUUACACUUAUCCAGCCAGGCCUGGGGCCAAACACAUUGCAGACCCUGCUCUGAAUGGAUGCUGUAUCGUAAUUGCUGCAGAAAGAAGCCAGCAGAGAAAAAGAGGACAAAAUCAGAAAGCUAUAAAGAGAAGCCAGCAAGGAGUACAGCCACCUACAAGUUUGUUACAUAAAAUAGGAAAGCAGCUUGAAUCUUAAGCCACCAUGGUUCAACUCCACGGUUGUUCACUGCUCAAAGACCCUCCCUGACAGCCUUCCAAAGACUGUUAUUAAAGACAUGUAUGCCUGGGAAUGUUUGCAUAAACCACCCAUUCCCAGGGGAACUGGCCAAGAAAUUCUUCCACUAACCAAUGAAACUCUCAAUCUUUACAGUCAGAUGCCCUCUGUCUGCCCCCUUCUGUUCCCUAGCUUUGUCGUUUCAGACGAAUACUCAAAGACUCUUGGCGCACGUGAAUCACUUCAGCAUUACCGAAAGCACUGUGCCAAGCGAUAUGAUGCCCAGUGGAGACACUUGCAGGCAAUCAAUGCUUUUGAACUAAAGCAUGCCUUCUCAUGUCAUUGAGUAACACGUAAAUAGGACCCACUUAGCCACCUACCCCCACUGCUUUAUUAAUCAUUGCAUUGGUGAGUGCCAAAACACUUCUGGGGGCCUCCCGAGAAUGUCUUCUGUCCCCAUCUUGAUUAUAUUCAAAAGAACUAAAAACAAACAAGGCCUGGUAAUUACUAAAGGGGGGCCAUUCUAUUGGUCAAUGCAUCAAGCUCUGAAGAAGCUGGACCAUUUACUUUCUGAAUUCAUCCACGAUAGUUCCCAAACUAGACAGCUGGAAGGCAAUCUUCAGUCUGUGCUGAAAUUUUCCUUCUAAGCUGCUGUCUCUGGCACAACGGCACCCAGAUCAUCCUGUGGACUGGAGGCAACAACAUCUUUUUCAAGAAAUGACCUGACAUGACAGCCCGAGAUUAGGAAAUUCUACCAAUUCCAAAGUACAGAGAAUAAAACCUGUGCCCAUAGAAAGCCACCAUGACUUAACUCAUGCUGGAAUGUCGCCAUAGUGUAUUCUAUGUAAAAAUGGAUGUCUCCAUUCGACUCAUAAAAUAAAGUAAAACCAGUCG
rnacentral:lncRNA from 1 species